CAGGUACCUAUUGACAUUGCUGCAAAAUUUCUUGCAAUGUAUUCAGAUACUUCAGAAUGUAUUCUGAGAGGCUGAACAUCAUGGUGGAAGAGGGUGGUGGAAGAAUGUGGACCAGAACAUCACAUCAUGAAGCAGAGAGUGGAGUGCUGAGGAUCAAACCCAGGGCCUUGCGUGUUCUAGAGAUGCCUUGGAUUUGAGAAAAGACAACCAGAAUUUACACCAGUACAAGAUAAUUGUAACAGGGUCUUCUUAGUGUUGCUGUGAGGUUGAAAUUAACUAAUGUUCAUAGAAAUCUUGAAUCUCCACCUCCACCAUUCUGGCUGAGUGGCUUUCAAUUCAUUCAUUUAUUUCAUCCAUUCAACACAUAGUUUUUGAACCUACUCUAUGCCAGGUACUGUGCUAGGUACUAAGGAUAAAGUACUUAGCAAACAGACCCAGCCUCUGCUCUCAUAGAAUUUGUGUUCCAAUUAACAAAAGGAAUAAGUAAAAUA